rnacentral:rRNA from 1 species
AUUGAACGCUGGCGGCAGGCCUAACACAUGCAAGUCGAACGAGUGGCGGACGGGUGAGUAAUGUCUGGGAAACUGCCUGAUGGAGGGGGAUAACUACUGGAAACGGUAGCUAAUACCGCAUACCAUCAGAUGUGCCCAGAUUGGAUUAGCUUGUUGGUGGGGUAACGGCUCACCAAGGCGACGAUCCCUAGCUGGUUUGAGAGGAUGACCAGCCACCCUGGAACUGGGACACGGUCCAGACUCCUACGGGAGGCAGCAGGGGGGAAUAUUGCACCAGUGGCGCAAUCCUGCUGCAGCCAUGCCGCGUGUAUGAAGAAGGCCUUCUGGUUGUAAAGUACUUUCAGCAGGGAGGCGUUACCCGCAGAAGAAGCACCGGCUAACUCCGUGCCAGCCGCCGCGGUAAUAC